AAUUUCAAAAGAGUUGGAAGAAAAUCCAUAAUAAACCUUAAAAAAAUCCUUAAGAAAUACUAAAAAAUAUUAGAAUAAUCACAAAUAUCUUAAAUAAAUAUCAACCAAGUUUUAAUUUAACCCCAAUUGAAAUCCUAAUGGACUUCAAUCAAACCCUAGAUAAAUCCUAAAUUCUAAAUCAAACCUUAGAUAAAUUUUAAAUCCUAAAUCAAACCUUAGAUAAAUUCUAAAUCCUAAAUCAAACUCUAAAUCAAAUCUUAGAUAAAUCCUAAAUUCUAAAUCAAAUCCUAGACAAAUCUUAGAGAAAUCCUAAAUCCUAAAUCAAAUCCUAAAUCUUGAAUAAAAUCCUAAAUCAAAUCCUAAAUCUUGAAUCAAAUCUUAAAUCAAAUUCUAGAUAAAUCCUAAAUUUUAAACCAAAUUCUAGAUAAAAUAUUAAAUCUU
rnacentral:lncRNA from 1 species